rnacentral:rRNA from 1 species
UACAGAGGUCUCAAGCGUUGUUCGGAUUCAUUGGGCGUAAAGGGUGCGUAGGCGGCGCGGUAAGUCGGGUGUGAAAUCUCGGAGCUUAACUCCGAAACUGCAUUCGAUACUGCCGUGCUUGAGGACUGGAGAGGAGACUGGAAUUUACGGUGUAGCGGUGAAAUGCGUAGAUAUCGUAAGGAAGACCAGUGGCGAAGGCGGGUCUCUGGACAGGUUCCUGACGUGAGGCACGAAGGUCAGGGGAGAACGGA